rnacentral:rRNA from 1 species
UAGUUGGUAAGGUAACGGCUUACCAAGGCGACGAUCAGUAGCCGACCUGAGAGGGUGAUCGGCCACAUUGGAACUGAGACACGGUCCAAACUCCUACGGGAGGCAGCAGUGGGGAAUAUUGCACAAUGGGCGAAAGCCUGAUGCAGCAACGCCGCGUGAGUGAUGAAGGCCUUCGGGUCGUAAAACUCUGUCCUCAAGGAAGAUAAUGACGGUACUUGAGGAGGAAGCCCCGGCUAACUACGUGCCAGCAGCCGCGGUAAUACGGAGGGGGCUAGCGUUAUCCGGAUUUACUGGGCG